UACAUAAAAGAGAUGAGGUUGAUGGCAAAGCAGAUCAUCCGCUCUUGUGUACCUCUCUGGUAUCAGCGCUCCACGGAAGGUGUAUUCUCAAAGAUGAACUUCUUUCUCGUUAUCCUCGUGGCCAUGCCUUUCUUGGUCCCCAACAGCGAGGGUUUUCAGUUCCCCGGAAAUGAACAAGUUGCGGCUGGUGGAGCCGCGGUGCGCAGUUUGCCAGGUGCUGAAAACGUCAUGAAUCUCAUGGGACAAGCAGUUUCCUCGUUUACCGGAAGUGGCAGUACUCAACCUGUUCAGAAUCAACAGUCACAGCAUUCGGCACCUCAGCAAAAUUAACAGACGCGGCAGACGCAGAUUCCACUGUUAUAAACAUCAGACGCGUGAUGUUGUGAUGGGCUUUUGCGACAUCCAUUUGCUAAUAUCCAAUAAAUCGCAUUGGUCACUACUUC